rnacentral:misc_RNA from 1 species
UUUCUUCCUCAAAACUGAGUUAGCUAUGUCAAUCUUCCUCUGCUCAUCUUCCAGGUCACUCUGCUUUUGCCUCAGAAUGCCGUCAUUCUCAUUUGCUCGCUGCUCUCUUUGAUUAAGCAAUGUUCGAGCAUCAGCCAGCCUCUCCUCUCCUUCCUUUAGUUUUCUUUCCCAUUCUCGCAACUCUUCUCUGUGUUUAGAUAUAGCACUCUCAUGAGCUUCACGCUCGGUAUUGAAAGAGGACCGUUCUCUUCUAAGUGCAUUUUCUUGAGCCUCGAUAUCACGCAUUUUCCUCUCAACAUCUGAACUUUUUCUACUCACCUCAGCGGUCUUGGCGUCAGCUGCACGCAAUUUCAGUUCUACAUGUAGUGAAUUCUCUUCAACACUAGUAGCCAAUGCCUUUGCCUCAUCUAAUUUCGAAUCAGCUACAUACUUGGUCUCUGCAUACUGAGAGCGCAUCUCACGCAGUUCCUUCUCUAACUCACGCACACAUUGGUUCUCAACACCCAAUGCCUUCCUCAAAUUCUCCUCCCGUUUCUCCACUUCAGAUAGAGCAAUUAAGUGAGCUGUAUGUUCUCUUCUAUAGGCCUCAUUUGCUUCACUUAAGGCUUGCUUAAUUUCUUCAAGCUUAGCAGACCACUCCUUUUUCUCAAUCAAGAGAAGGCCCAUAUUGUACUGAUAGUCAACAAG